ACCACAUGAACCGAUUUCUCUCGCCGACAUUCAGAUUUCAGACAGAAAACCUGUAAACUCCUGUAUCACGGGAACUUGGAGUAAACAAACACGGUUUAUGACGCAGAAGAAACGGCGACAGUUUGAGUUUAUUUAAGCGAUAAAAGAUGCAACAAACAGAAAAGGCUUUGGGUGAAGGAGGAGCAGCGGCUGUUUGCUGCGCUCAUAUGGAGGUCAUGUGUCUCUCGGCCUGAUUGGAUGAACAUCUUUAUAACCUUUAUGUCACGUUAGUGAUGAAAGUUCACCAGCUGCGGCUCCAGCUUCCCUCCAGUUCCUCCUCAUUUCUGGUGAUGAAAUGCUGAAUUCAUGCUGUUUCCACACAUCAUCUCCGAUGUCCACCGGACUCUCUGCCGCGCCAUGUUUGGGAUUCCCCUCCGCGCUUCCUGAUUGGCUACCUGUCACGUUCUCCCUCCCACUCGGGAAAAACCCCACAGGCCACGACGACCCGACCUGCUGAACGUGACCGGAGCCGCGACGCCACACAGGAUCAUCGGUUAUCGCAGGAGACGAUCUCAGAACGUCGAACGUUCUGAGAUCAGGGGAAAAAAAAUAAAUCGUGCAGAGUGA